CAGCCGCCACGGUAAAACGGAGGGGGCUAGCGUUGUUCGGAAUUACUGGGCGUAAAGCGCACGUAGGCGGCUUUGUAAGUUAGAGGUGAAAGCCUGGGGCUCAACCCCAGAAUUGCCUUUAAGACUGCAGAGCUAGUAGGUGAGAGAGGUGAGUGGAAUUCCGAGUGUAGAGGUGAAAUUCGUAGAUAUUCGGAAGAACACCAGUGGCGAAGGAGGCUCACUGGCUCAUUCUAGACGCUGAGGUGCGAAAGCGUGGGAAGCAAACAGGAUUAGAUACCCCCGUAGUCCCUGUCUCUUAUAC
rnacentral:rRNA from 1 species